GAUGAACGCUAGCGGCAGGCCUAACACAUGCAAGUCGAGGGGUAGAAGUUGCUUGCAACUUUGAGACCGGCGCGCGGGUGCGUAACGCGUAUGCAAUCUACCUUUUACAGAGGGAUAGCCCAGAGAAAUUUGGAUUAAUACCUCAUAGUAUCUUUGCCCGGCAUCGGGUGAUUAUUAAAGUUCUAACGGUAAAAGAUGAGCAUGCGUCCUAUUAGCUAGAUGGUAAGGUAACGGCUUACCAUGGCUACGAUAGGUAGGGGUCCUGAGAGGGAGAUCCCCCACACUGGUACUGAGACACGGACCAGGCUCCUACGGGAGGCAGCAGUGAGGAAUAUUGGACAAUGGGCGCAAGCCUGAUCCAGCCAUGCCGCGUGCAGGAAGACGCAUCUAUGGUGUGUAAACUGCUUUUGUACGGGAAGAAACACUCCCUCGUGAGGGAGCUUGACGGUACCGUGAGAAUAAGGAUCGGCUAACUCCGUGCCAGCAGCCGCCGUAAAAC
rnacentral:rRNA from 1 species